CAUAGAGAACUCCGCAUUAAAUGCUG
rnacentral:piRNA from 1 species